CACGGGGGGAGCAAGCGUUGUUCGGAAUUACUGGGCGUAAAGGGCGCGUAGGCGGCCUUCUAAGUCGAACGUGAAAUCCCUGGGCUCAACCCAGGAACUGCGUCCGAUACUGGAAGGCUUGAAUCCGGGAGAGGGAUGCGGAAUUCCAGGUGUAGCGGUGAAAUGCGUAGAUAUCUGGAGGAACACCGGUGGCGAAGGCGGCAUCCUGGACCGGUAUUGACGCUGAGGCGCGAAAGCCAGGGGAGCAAACGGG
rnacentral:rRNA from 1 species